UCUUAUCUGCACAUGAACAUGUACUUUUAAUAGCGAGCUCGCUGAGCCGCCGUAGGCGGCUCGACAGCUCGCAUUACGUUAACACGUGUAUUGGACUGUAGAUCUACACAGGUUGUUGUUUUGAAAAGUUUGGUAUCUUCGCGCGCAACCGAACCUGAUAUCCGAAACCGGAACUGGAAAUUUUGGAAGGACUUCCCCGUUCGAUGACGUCAUCACAAAAUGUAUCCAAGUAACGAAUGACGUCACCGUUUUGUGUGUACAUAGCAAGUGUCAACACCGACCGCUACUCGCACUUUUUAUUAAAAAUGAUGACAAAACAAGUAAGUGCUAUUAUUUAUUGGACGAUUGCCAUUGAGGAACAAACACGCGAUUGGUUCGGCAUGUACUCAGGUGCCUGAACCACGUGACUUUUUCGGCUAUGUGUGGGACAAUCGGAUGUAAACAAACGUCGCUUCAGAAUGCCUUUGUUUGCGAACAGUGUGGCAGAGAGGUCAAAACACGGUCGGGGAUCUCCUAACACAAAGCCACCCACGCACGGACAGGAAAAAAGUUCCGUUGGGCAAACUUUUUCUUGUUUGUUUCUAUAAAAUAUAUUGUUACAAAAUGUUGAAUUUUCAGUGAAUUGUUACUGCCGACUAAUGCACUUGUUUAAUACACAAAUCGUAAGGAUUGUUUGUGC